rnacentral:rRNA from 1 species
AAAGGCCCUUCGGGGUACUCGAGCGGCGAACGGGUGAGUAACACGUGAGUAAUCUGCCCCUAGCUCUGGGAUAGCUCCGGGAAACCGGGAUUAAUACCGGAUAUGACUCCUUCAGACAUCUUGAGGAGUGGAAAGAUUUAUCGGCUAGGGAUGAGCUCGCGGCCUAUCAGCUUGUUGGUGGGGUAACGGCCCACCAAGGCGACGACGGGUAGCCGGCCUGAGAGGGCGACCGGCCACACUGGGACUGAGACACGGCCCAGACUCCUACGGGAGGCAGCAGUGGGGAAUAUUGCGCAAUGGGCGAAAGCCUGACGCAGCGACGCCGCGUGGGGGAUGAAGGCCUUCGGG